rnacentral:lncRNA from 1 species
CCGGCACUAUUGCUAGUUUUAUUCCGAAAAUUGGACUCUCCGUUUCAAAGUAACCGGUCGAACCCCAAAGCUGUACAAAUUAGGGCUUGUAGAUUCUCUUUUCGAGAUUUCUGAUCGCAUCGUAUCCAUUUGUCUUCAAUCGAACUUGGUUUUCGAUACCUAGGGCUUGAAGGCAGAUCAAUUGGAUCGCACUUUUAGCAGCUCCACACAUAUUAUCCUCGAUUUCAGAGGCCUCAAGAUUUUCGAUCGGCGUUGUGGUUGAAAGGAAUUUCAGGUGAGUAGUUUUGUUCUAAUCUUCAAUUUAAGGAGAUUUGGGAUUGGAAUUUCAUAGUUUCGAAAUGAAAUUUAUGCAUUUGGACUGCGGAUUUGGCAUUGGGUUGGCCAAUUUCAAAAUUAGGGCACAAAUGUAAUGCCAAAUACAUGGAGUCGAACAUAGCCUAUAUGGGUUUUGGUUAUAAUUGUUUGAUUUGACGAAAAUUGCCAAUGUUGAAUGGUUGCUUUAGUUCAGCAUAAUAAAAAUUAUUAUUUUAGCUGUUAGAUUUAAAUUUAGACCGUUAAUUUUUUUUUACCAUUGAAUUUCAUCAAAUUAGAUUUUAACCGUUGGAUUCAACGAAUUUACUAAAUAAAAUAUACAUAUGUGGUGGGCCUGCCCCACUAAUCCUGGGCUAAAUCUUGUGCUAAAUUUGGCUUUGUUUUAGGUUUUAGGUCCAAUUUUAAGCUUGGGUUGGAUUGGAUUUUUGUUGGGGGGGAGAACAGAAGGGAAAAAUAAGUUAUAGGUCAGGGUUGGAGAUGGUCUUAGGAGUCUCGGGAGUGGGGAGAACAGAAGGGGAAAAAUAAGUUAUAGGCCAGAGUUGAAGAUGGUCUUAGGAGUCUGUCCUAUCAAAUCUGUCUAAAUCGCGAUUCUAGCUUAGACAAAAAAUAUACAACUUUUAUUUUAAUUUUAAUUUUUUUAAUAAAUUGUAAAAGACUUAUUGAAUACUGAACACAUAUUCUAAGCUUGUCUUCCACAUUUUCUUUAUGUUCUAAUACUUUAAACCUAUAUAUCAUUUUAUUUUGUAGUUUUUGUUAUCUUAAUAUAAUUAUAUAUUUUUAUGUAUAAAUUAACACUUAUAUAAAUGAUAUAUAAUAAAUUUAUUUGAACUCACCUAAUUCGCUUAGCACUAAGCUCUGUGCCUAGAUUUGAAGCUCCAACUGGCUACCCGUCUAGCGCUUAAUGUCUUUUUAAACCUUGAAUACAACGUAGAGAAAAGAAAUAGGGACAAUGACAAAAAUGAAAUUUUGAAAUUUUUGCCAAACUGUCCGGAGAAGCGAGAGACAAAGGGAAAGUACAAUACUUAGGUUAUAAACUGAUGUGAUGUGGCGUAAUGAGAAUAGCUCACCUAUCGUACCAUAUUUACUUGAUGGAAUGUAUUUAAAUUCAUAUAUACUAAACGUGAGAUUCCCCGGUACUGUAGAUCACCAGUGUCCGGACGGAACUGCCCUCGCUUCUCUGUUUUCUUUCCGUUUGUGUCCCUGUUUUCCACGCAUCGCUCAUCUUAUUCUCUCGACUUCGAGUCUUCUUAACGAGUUAGGGUUUUGUACCUUCGUUGCUUUUCCUGAUUUCGGCUUUUGCUCUUUUCGUUUUGCCGUUCUUUCUUCCAAUCCUCUGUUUCCCUGUGAUAUCCGUGCUUUCUUUCGCGGGGUUGCUGAUUUUCGUGGUUUAAGGGAUUUUGUGGUUACCGGGCCGUUGUGCGUCUAUUUAGAUUUGGGAUUUUUUGCGUUCCGAGGGUUUCGACAUCUCUAAUUGAGGUAAAGAAUUCCUGCUGUUUCCCCUUUUUUCCGUUUGAGAUUUCUGGGUUGUGGCUGGGUUUUUGGCCGAUUUACCUCUUUUCAAGGGUGGCGUCUUCGCAGCCCGCUGUGGAACAAGCGUGAUCCAACUAAGGUAUAUUUUAUAAUCAUUUUCUUUUGGUUUUUCCUUUGUUUUGAUGAAACCUUAAUCGUUUCCUUUUAUUGUCAAUUGUGGUGCUCUCUUGGGUUUUCCCUGUUAAAGGAGAAUUUUGCGUUUUUGUUCUUCAGUUGGCAAAUCUCUGAUUUGCUGGUAUUUGCAACGUUGCUGUAAUUUUUUUGCGCUUCUGCUUUUUUUCCUAUUCGGACAUGGAUUGGUAAUUAUUGGAUUUAAAUGGAUUCGUAGUUUUUUAUGAGAGGAGUUGUUGAGGUUGUGUGAAGGUUUGUUUGUCUGGGUUUUAUGCUGCAAGGGGUUACAAACACGGAGAGGAGGAGAGGAAACAUUAGUUUAGAUUGUGAUUUAAAUUUUCUGGGUUUUAUGCUGCGGGCACUAUUGCUAGUUUUAUUCCGAAAAUUGGACUCUCCAUUUCAGAGUAACUGGUCGAACCCCAAAGCUGUACAAAUUAGGGCUUGCAGAUUCUCUCUUCGAGAUUUCUGAUCGCAUCGUAUCCAUUUGUCUUCAAUCGAACUUGGAUUUCGAUACCUAGGGCUUGAAGGCAGACGAAUUGGAAUCGCACUUUUAGCGGCUCCGCACAGAUUAUCCUCAAUUUCAGAGGCCUCAAGAUUUUCGAUCGGCGUUGUGGUUGAAAGGAAUUUCAGGUGAGUAGUUUCGUUCUGAUUUUGC